rnacentral:rRNA from 1 species
GGAUCAGGUAGGAAUACCCGCUGAACUUAAGCAUAUCAAAGGGGCGGAGGA